GACGAACGCUGGCGGCGUGCUUAACACAUGCAAGUCGAACGGAAAGGCCCUGCUUUUGUGGGGUGCUCGAGUGGCGAACGGGUGAGUAACACGUGAGUAACCUGCCCUUGACUUUGGGAUAACUUCAGGAAACUGGGGCUAAUAUCCGAUAUGAGCUCCUGCUGCAUGUUGGGGGUUGGAAAGCUUCGGCGUUUGGGGAUGGUCUCGCGGCUUAUCAGCUUGUUUGUGGGGUAGUGGCUUACCAAGGCUUUGACGGGUAGCCGGCCUGAGAGGGUGAACGGCCACAUUGGGACUGCGGUACGGACCAGAAUCCUACGGGAGGCAGCGGUGGGGAAAAUUACGGAAUGGGCGGAAGCCUUAUGCAGCAACGCCGCGUGCGGGAUGACGGCCUUCGGGUUAUAAACUGCUUUCGCCUGUAACGAAGCGUGAGUGACGGUAAUGGGUAAAGAAGCACCGGCUAACUACGUG
rnacentral:rRNA from 1 species